rnacentral:rRNA from 1 species
UACGUAUGUUCCAAGCGUUAUCCGGAUUUAUUGGGCGUAAAGCGAGCGCAGACGGCUAUUUAAGUCUGCAGUGAAAGCCCUCAGCUCAACUGAGGAAUGCCUUUGGAAACUGUAUGACUUGAGUGCAGUAGAGGAAAGUGGAACUCCAUGUGUAGCGGUGAAAUGCGCAGAUAUAUGGAAGAACACCAAUGGCGAAGGCGGCUUUCUGGACUGUAACUGACGUUGAGGCUCGAAAGCGUGGGUAGCAAACA